rnacentral:rRNA from 1 species
GGAAAUUGGGUCAUUGGACGAGAGUCUGAACCAGCCAAGUAGCGUGAAGGAUGACUGCCCUAUGGGUUGUAAACUUCUUUUAUACGGGAAUAAAGUGAGGCACGUGUGCCUUUUUGUAUGUACCGUAUGAAUAAGGAUCGGCUAACUCCGUGCCAGCAGCCGCGGUAAUACGGAGGAUCCGAGCGUUAUCCGGAUUUAUUGGGUUUAAAGGGAGCGUAGGCGGACGCUUAAGUCAGUUGUGAAAGUUUGCGGCUCAACCGUAAAAUUGCAGUUGAUACUGGGUGUCUUGAGUACAGUAGAGGCAGGCGGAAUUCGUGGUGUAGCGGUGAAAUGCUUAGAUAUCACGAAGAACUCCGAUUGCGAAGGCAGCCUGCUGGACUGUAACUGACGCUGAUGCUCGAAAGUGUGGGUAUCAAACAGGAUUAGAUACCCUGGUAGUCCACACAGUAAACGAUGAAUACUCGCUGUUUGCGAUAUACAGUAAGCGGCCAAGCGAAAGCGUUAAGUAUUCCACCUGGGGAGUACGCCGGCAACGGUGAAACUCAAAGGAAUUGACGGGGGCCCGCACAAGCGGAGGAACAUGUGGUUUAAUUCGAUGAUACGCGAGGAACCUUACCCGGGCUUGAAUUGCAACUGAAUGAUGUGGAGACAUGUCAGCCGCAAGGCAGUUGUGAAGGUGCUGCAUGGUUGUCGUCAGCUCGUGCCGUGAGGUGUCGGCUUAAGUGCCAUAACGAGCGCAACCCUUAUCGAUAGUUACCAUCAGGUGAUGCUGGGGACUCUGUCGAGACUGCCGUCGUAAGAUGUGAGGAAGGUGGGGAUGACGUCAAAUCAGCACGGCCCUUACGUCCGGGGCUACACACGUGUUACAAUGGGGGGUACAGAAGGCAGCUACACGGCGACGUGAUGCUAAUCCCGAAAGCCUCUCUCAGUUCGGAUUGGAGUCUGCAACCCGACUCCAUGAAGCUGGAUUCGCUAGUAAUCGCGCAUCAGCCACGGCGCGGUGAAUACGUUCCCGGGCCUUGCACACACCGCCCGUA